CAGAAGCAGGCAAAGAAAAGUCCUGUGACUUGCUCAGGCCAGUCAAACCCAAGAACGGAUGUCACUUCUCAGCUGAAGACCUUGAGCUACAAAAUAUUACAUGGGAGACAGAGGGGAGGGACUGACAUUUUCAUGCCUACUUUAUGCCAGGAACCUUCAUACUGCUUUCCAUAGUGGCCACACCAAUUUUCAUUUCCACCAACAGUGCAGAAAUAUCAUUUCUUGAUUUAUCAAUUGACCUCCUGCUGUGAGAGAAAAGGCUCUAGUGCACUAACAGCAUUUCCCUUUCAUCUCCCAAACUGCUUCCCGGUAAGGUUUUAUCAAUAUAUUUAGUUCUUCAGCUGGUCAUCUUGUAACUCUAAGUAAUGGAUGUACUCCUUCAUUUCUUGUUCCACAAGUACAGAUAGUAUCUUUGGACUCCAGUGUGAGAGUCUUGAUCUCAGUGCAGGUCUGCCUGACUUGAGGACCCAAACACUUUGUAUUCCACACUGAGUCUCCCACACUGACACCUUCUGGACCAGUGAAGGUCCCUUUGCCUGAUUUUGGGAAAUGUAUUUUAAAAUAAUUGGCACUGGUAAUGGAUUUUGAACAAGAGGCAUUCUUGGGCCAGUGCAUACCGAGAUAGAACAGUCUGAAGAUAAUGGACUAUGUGCCCGGCUAAUAAUUGAGAUUUUAUUACUAAGGACAAAGAGGAAAAUGGAGAUUGGAGGAUGACCAACAGUCACUCAUCCCUGGUAAAGCAGAUCAAUAAAAGACUCACUGCCCUAAUUCAAGCCACUCUUAUUUGGGUUGACUGGCGGAAACAAAAAACGCCUAAAAUUUGAAAGCCUACUCCCAAUCCAUGACGAUGGAGAAUCCUCUCAGGUCAAACCCACUCUAUUGCUGUUUCAGUCAGGUCAGACCAGCUCUAUUUGAGGAACUAGGAUGAAUCCAUUUCUCAAUGUAUCCCAGCUGAAAUGGCAUGCUAACUGAAGACAACCUUCAUUUCUGCCGUGGGAAGGAAGAACAAGAGGUCUAGACCUCUCCCACCAAACAGCCAUGCCAGCUGAAGGGGGCGGGGGAAUACCCACCAGCUCUAUAAAACACGUGUACCCACAGACGCUGGACUUCUCAAUGAGGUUUUGAUUUAGACCUUACACCCAUCUUCAGCAACUGACAUGGCUGAGCAAGUUUGGCCUCCUGGAUCACAGAACACUGAGAAUUCAGCCCGUGCCAAAUGGAGGAGUAGAGAGCUUCACUGAUCAAGGCCUGGUGAAUUGUGUGACACCUGGUCCAAGUAAAACCACACCCACGAAGUAUAUGGAUACUGUGGCAGGCAGCCUCUGAGAGGGCCCUAAUGAUCCCUACCUCCAGGUCUCCAUACCUGUGUGUAAUCUCCUCUCCUUGUGCAUGGGCAGGACCUCCUGACUCAUUUCUAACAAAUAGAUUAGGGCAGAAGGGAUGGAUGUCACUUCCAAGAUUAGGUUACAAAAAGACUGUGGCUUCCGUCUUGCUGGCCUCCUCUUACUCUCUUACUUACUCUGAGGGAGGCCAGCUGCCAUGUUGUGAGAUGGCCUCCGGGUGGGUGGAGGGGCACGUGGCAGUGGACGAGCUGACAUCUCCAGCCAACCGCCAGGGGUGACUGAGUCCUGCCAACAGCCGCCCAGGUGAGCUUGGAAAUGGAUCCUUCUCCAGUCUAGCCUUGAGACAACUGCAGCUCCAGCCAAUAGCUUGACCGCUGCCUUGUGAGGAACCCUGACCUGAGCCAGAGGCACCCAGCUAGCCUGCACCCAGAUUCUUGCCCCACAGAAACUAACCGGCAGACUAGAAGCUGCCGGUACCGAAGACAUUAUGCCAAGGGGGCCAGAGCCUUACCUCUUUCCCUCUACUCCUUGCAUUACGGAGACCAGGACCGCAAGCCCCAUCCCUGCCAAGAAAUGGAAGGUGUCUUUUCACUUUCUUGAUACUGUCCUUUGAAGCACAAAUUUUAAAAAUUUUGAAUAAGUCUAAUUUACCUA